AUUGAACGCUGGCGGCAUGCCUUACACAUGCAAGUCGAACGGUAGCGCGGGGCAACCUGGCGACGAGUGGCGAACGGGUGAGUAAUGCAUCGGAACGUGCCCAGUAGUGGGGAUAACUGCUCGAAAGAGCAGCUAAUACCGCAUACGACCUGAGGGUGAAAGCGGGGGAUCGCAAGACCUCGCGCUAUUGGAGCGGCCGAUGUCAGAUUAGGUAGUUGGUGGGGUAAAGGCCCACCAAGCCAACGAUCUGUAGCUGGUCUGAGAGGACGACCAGCCACACUGGGACUGAGACACGGCCCAGACUCCUACGGGAGGCAGCAGUGGGGAAUUUUGGACAAUGGACGCAAGUCUGAUCCAGCCAUGCCGCGUGCGGGAAGAAGGCCUUCGGGUUGUAAACCGCUUUUGUCAGGGAAGAAACGCUCUGGGUUAAUACCUCGGGGUAAUGACGGUACCUGAAGAAUAAGCACCGGCUAACUACGUGCCAGCCGCCGCAGUAACAC
rnacentral:rRNA from 1 species